rnacentral:rRNA from 1 species
UACGUAGGGUGCAAGCGUUAAUCGGAAUUACUGGGCGUAAAGCGUGCGCAGGCGGUUGUGCAAGACAGAUGUGAAAGCCCCGGGCUCAACCUGGGAAUUGCGAUGGAGACUGCAAGGCUUGAAUCUGGCAGAGGGGGGUAGAAGUUCCACGUGUAGCAGUGAAAUGCGUAGAGAUGUGGAGGAACACCGAUGGCGAAGGCAGCCCCCUGGGUCAAGAUUGACGCUCAUGCACGAAAGGCGUGGGGAGCAAACAGG